rnacentral:rRNA from 1 species
UGGGGAAUUUUGGACAAUGGGGGCAACCCUGAUCCAGCAAUGCCGCGUGUGUGAAGAAGGCCUUCGGGUUGUAAAGCACUUUUGUCCGGAAAGAAAACUUCGGGGCUAAUACCCCUGGAGGAUGACGGUACCGGAAGAAUAAGCACCGGCUAACUACGUGCCAGCAGCCGCGGUAAUACGUAGGGUGCGAGCGUUAAUCGGAAUUACUGGGCGUAAAGCGUGCGCAGGCGGUGCUGUAAGACCGAUGUGAAAUCCCCGGGCUUAACCUGGGAACUGCAUUGGUGACUGCAGCGCUGGAGUAUGGCAGAGGGUGGUGGAAUUCCACGUGUAGCAGUGAAAUGCGUAGAGAUGUGGAGGAACACCGAUGGCGAAGGCAGCCCCCUGGGCCAAUACUGACGCUCAUGCACGAAAGCGUGGGGAGCAAACAGG